AAAGUGACAAGAUGCAAGUUCGUCAGCAUUUUUUCAUUUUAGACCGCUUGGCAGCGAUGCAAUCUUGCGUCCUGUGGAGAAAAACUGCGGAUAAACUUCCAGCUUGUCCCUUUUAUUCAAAUCGAGAAAUCGAUCAUGCGACUUACGCCCUUAUUCUAGCACACGCUUGAGUUUUACUUCGUCUGCUAUACAGUCUUGUUUACGCUGGUCGCAUCAUUAGCAGGAUCAUAGUGAAUUUCGUCUCUCAAUUUCCGAAACUUGCUCAUACACUCGUCACACAUGCAGAUAAUUUUAGACGAGCACAACACACACAAUACAUCUUCAAUCAAUUCAACGCAGCUAGCAUGGAAGAAGCCGGCACAAUAUCCUUCGCAAACGGUAUAGAGGUCGGCUUUGAAAUUGAUUCUCAGAGAGCACUUUUUGCAAUUUUUUUCUCCAUCCAUGUUGAAGCGGGAAUGGCAGCAACUGUACUUUCAACCAAAUGCCGAUUAUCGAUAUUCUAGAAUAUCACAAUAUCACGACGUAAACUUAAAAUAUCACCAAAAUAUUCGAUGGAGAGGUUUCAACGGCUUGAUCGGAUAGCGCAGAUUCUAUGACAACGAACAAGAAAUGCUGCUGCUGACGCCUUAUUUUUCUUUCGAAUUGCUCUCCAGAGAGGUAAGACAGAUUUUCUCAUAUUUCUUGGAUGUGCAAAUAAAAAAAAUGUUAGUAUAAUUUCAGAUUGGAGAAAGUGACUAACCAUGACGCUGUUUAGUAAUUUUUGGAGGAAAACGGCGUGCAGCUUUUUGUUCGAGAUGAAGAGCCUGGUGUUUCAAUUAUUUCAAUAAUUUAUCUUAGAAUACAUGUAUUGCAAAAACUUAAAUAAAUAAUACGCCAUGUGA
rnacentral:lncRNA from 1 species